CAAUAAAUAACAAGUAAUGAUGGUAGUCGCUUUCCAUUUCAAUGGUGCUAGGAGUAAAAGGGUCCUAAGAAUAGUGCCUUCCAGAAAUGGUUGUUUCUGCUCUUUUACGAUAGGCUAUAACUAUGAUUUUGAGUGUUGAGAAAAAUCAAAUGAUGUUUAAUUAGUUGAUGCUCAAUAUCAUAAUUGCAGCGAAACUUAUGGCAUUUCCGUGGCUGUCGCUUCAAUUGACAUGUACAAUCUGAACCGACACAUAUAUAAUGGUGUGCUUAUAAAGACAUGGAAAUGCCAUUGGGAGACCAAUUGUUUUGUUGAACUAGUGAAAGCACUCUGAAGACCAACACAUAUCAGCCUUUUUGGAUUUUCAUGUAUAUAUGAAUUUUCUUUACAUUUUUUGAUGCAUAAGCCAAAUUCUUUGUUAUGAAGACAUAUUUGGGAUGCAUUUAUAGUGUGUAUUUGUUAGUCAGAUCAUGUUUCUUUAAAUUGGUCAAAGUUUGGUGUUGUAGGGAGGAAUUUGUGAAGCCUAGGAUGAAUGACAAUGAAUAUGAAGUGGAUGGAAAAGCUUUUGAGAGGAGAAGCAUGUCAAAGGAGAUUUAUGAAGACAGCGAGUACUAUAACUCCAGAUCCUCUGGCAGAUUCAAUCUUUGAGGAAAUUUUGUUCCCAUGGAUGUCCAGCCUCUGGGACUGAUAUAUAGGGACCUUUGAUUCAUUUCGGAAGGCAAGUCAAGUUGUGGCUAUUGUGAGUUCAUUAGUAGUUGUUACUGGUAAAGUUAGGAUAUAAAAAAUUCAGAAAAUUAGAUACUACUAGCUAUGAAUAUUCUGCUAAUUUAAUGUAUAGGUUGAGAUCAAGCUUCCAAAAGUGAUGUCCUUUGUUGGGCUUCUCGUUAAUUGAAUUUGUGGCUUCUCCUUAAUCGUAUGGCAGUAUGCAUAAUGCUCAUUUGAUGGACAAGAAGAAAUAUGUGUUUGUAUCUUAAUGAUGUCGAUUGACGACAGUGGAUGAUUUUAUUUGAA